GGUAAUUCUGUAAGAUGGGAAUAGCAGGAUCCAUCAAGAGAUGACCCAGUCCAGCCCUCUGCCUAAAGGUGCCCUUCAGCUCGGUUACAUUCUUGGAAUGCAACACAACUAAAUGUGGGUUCCCCCAAAGUACUGGAAGGCUGCUAUAAGGUCUCCCCAGUGUCUUCCCUUCUCUGAACGGAAUAACCUUUCAUCUCUUAACCUUUACUCGCUGGAGAGGUUCUCCAUUCCUUCCACUGUUUUUGUGGCCCGCCUCUGGACCUGCUCCAACAGUUCCAUGUCUUUUCUAUGCUGAGGACCUCAGAGCUGGAUGCAGCGCUCCAGGUGAGGUCUCACCAAAGCAGAGCAGAGGGGUAGAAUCUCCACCCUCAUCCUGCUGGCCACAUUGCUUUGGAGGCAGCCCAGGAGACAACUGGCUUUCUGGGUUAGGAGUGAACAUUUCUGGGGCACGUCCAACCUCUCAUCCACAAACAUCCCGAAAACCUUCUCAGCAGGGCUGCUCUCCAUCUGUUCCUCCUGAAGCUUAUAUCGAUACUGGGAUUUGCCCUGAAUUAAUAUAAACUGCCUAUAACACAUGGAAUAAUUAUUCAUCAGUCCAGUCAUCUCAUAUCACUACUUAGUGUAGUAAAAUGGAAAGCUCAUCUACUUAAUUGAAAACCUCUAUCAAUAUUAAUUUUAUCCAAAAGUAAAAAAAGAAAGUUAUAAGAUUAAAAUAUUUUCUGGAAAUAAAUUAUCUGUGGUCUUUACGAGCCAACUCUUUUCAUAAACUUCCCUGUAGAAAAAAGUUGAUUCUAAUGACUUUCUCUCUUCUGAAAAUCUUUCCUGAAGAGAAAUCUUCCAUGUGUUAUUCUGAUGAUGAAACAAUUACAUGUUCAAUACAGUCCUCCUUGCUGAGGUUACACAUAAAAAUCUUUUAUGUAUUUAAAGACAGCAGAGAGUAGCGCAUGUAUAAAUUCUACUUUCUAAAAACCUUCAUGGCCAAUAAAAGACAGCUAGAAGAACUAUACUGUGGGGUGUCUUUUACACAGUCAAUGAAAGUAGGUGGGAGGCAUAAAGUUGUUCCUAUUGCAAAGAGGGGAGAAGAGGUAGUGUAGCCAGCAACAAUUAAUGCAUGUCAUAACUGAUAAGUUAUGGAUAAGAGAGAAAGUCAAGGGGAAUCCAAGAAAAGUAUUUUUGAAUUCAUUUCAGCCCUCUCAUGUCUCUUUCAAAGCCCUGGCUUGCUGACUGUGGAGGAAAAGAAAUGAGAACACUUUUUUUGUCUGUCUCUCUAAACCAAAGUAACUAAAGGCUUCAUACAGAGGAACAUUAAUUUACUUUAGGCCCAUUUUCACAGUUCCCAGAUGAAAAACAAUGAUGACCUCAGGGAGCCAGCAGUGCUCCCUUAGUAGUUUCUAUGUUGGGUAUUUGAAAUAUAUUGAAAAUUAAAAUUAUAAGAUUACUUCCCACUUUAAAACACACAUUUAUUCUUUGAAAAUAUGAGUAAAAUUAAAGAUUAAUUUAAGAAAAUUACUUACGGCACAAAAAGCACAUUAGUACUGCCCAAAUCAUCAUUUAUGGGGAAAGGUGGUUAUUUUGGCUGAGACGACAAAUUACCCUUCCACAGCAGAAGGAAAAAAAAAUAGUUUACAGUUCAAG